AAAACGGCUCUUCUGAGGGCCACCUUUUUUUUAGAAAAGAGUUUAC
rfam:Daphnia pulex DAPPTscaffold_35_Cont2023, whole genome shotgun sequence.